ACAAGUGACAUAAGAGGAGAGCUUGUUACCGGUAUAUUCACGACGAUGGCUCUCAACGUGUGUUUGUGGACGGUUCUGUUGACCAUUCUUGUUAGUCCUACCCUCCAACGAUCACUAAGGGCUUCAGUACAGGACUACGUGUCUCCACUCAGAGCGUUUCGUCUUUACGUAGGAAGUCUUUGUGAACCUUGCGAAAACUCCUGCAACAAAGAAUUGUGUGAAUUGUAUAACAAACUUCUUACAUCAACAACAAUUCGUCCACGGACAAUCACUGUUCCAAUCCCUACAGGCUUAAUCCACUCCAACUAGACGAAAAUGCGACACUGCUGACAAUCUUUCCGGAUCCUUGACUAUUUUAACUUAGUAAUACAUACUGGUACAUGUACAUUAAAAGGACUGGAUGGUUGU
rnacentral:sRNA from 1 species